UACGGGGGGGCAAGCGUUGUUCGGAAUUACUGGGCGUAAAGGGCUCGUAGGUGGCCAACUAAGUCAGACGUGAAAUCCCUCAGCUUAACUGGGGAACUGCGUCUGAUACUGGAUGGCUUGAGUUUGGGAGAGGGAUGCGGAAUUCCAGGUGUAGCGGUGAAAAUGCGUAGAUAUCUGGAGGAACACCGGUGGCGAAGGCGGCAUUCUGGACCGAUAUUGACGCUGAGGAGCGAAAAGCCAGGGGAGCAAAGCGGG
rnacentral:rRNA from 1 species